GAGGGGCACACUGGCACUCCCAUCUGCUGAUGCUCUGUAGGGCCUCCGGCACUUUCCAUUCAGUCUGCUGAGCCUGUGCCAUCUCAUCCUGCCCUGCUCCACUGCACCCAGGGGUACUGUACACACACAAACAGCUACGCAUAUAUUAGUUCAGAAUCUAUAGAUGUACAUCCUACUGUAUAGGUAUGUAAACAAACAUGCAUAUCGAGUAGGGCACAUAGUUGUGAAACACACACACUCAUAGCACAAUCAUCACCAUCUUAUUUGUGAACCAAUGCACAUAAUAUUAAAGGGCACAUGCGUUAAUGGAUAUAACGCUGCGCGUGUGUACAGUGUGCUGUGGGCCAGACGCAGACCUGCUGACACGAGGAGACGCAGCAGCCGAGCCUGGAAUGAAUGAUUACUCAUGGAAAGCUACCCUCCGCCUUCCUCUGACCCAACCAUUGAUGCACUUAACAUAUUUUCCUAUUAGAGGCACAGUCAGUCAACAUGCGCACGCACACACACCCCUCUGGAACCCCCUCCUUCUUGCUCUUUGGCUCACUGCUGGCUAGGAUGUGAGGAAUGCUUUGUGCUAAUGUUUAUCUAGAAAGCCUUGAGGCUCUAUAAGAGCUGACAUGGGAUAAGCUACUAUUACAGUAUUAUCUCAGCCUCUGCUGUUUUUAUAUACUGUUAUACAACCUUCAUAACAUAUUAGAAAUAAUAUUUAAGACAAUAUCCUUCAUUUCCAAGCAAAGACUUAGAAUCUGGUCCGCAUAUUUUUAUUUAUUUAUUUAUGUUAAUUUAUUUAUUUUAUUUUUUUCCACUAGAACUUGUCUAUGGAUCUCACAGUACAGCUGUAGUUAAUGGUGAAACCUUAAGUUUAUGUUGGAAAGCAGUAUUUAAUAUGCUGACAAAAGAAACUAAGAAAAAACGACUUGGCUGCGUUUUGCUCUCGGCUGAAAUCGCGCUAACUGUGUACUUUCUCCGCUAUCAGAGCACUACUCUAUAAACAAGCCCAGAUCAAGCCAUCUAUCAUCUUCAGAACAGCGUGUUCAAGGCGAUCCUCAUCAGCAUCUUGGUGGAAAAAGUGAUUCGCAAACGGCUAGGACCCAGCAAGGACCAGGUCGGGCAGCCUCGACUGCGCUUAAAGUUAAAUCAGAACUAAGUCUAGUUAUAAACGGAAAAGGACAUGCCCUCCAAAAGCCCCCCCUGACUCCGAGUGUGACUGAUCUCAACCCAAAUCUUAAUCUGAGUCUGUAACAUAUCCCAACACGGGUGACUCCGCGUAUUUAUCCCCGUCGCCUAACGUGCGCGACCGUAGCCGCAGUGCCAGUGCCGACCGCGAACGGCUCCGCGCCCAUUGGUUCCUGCUUUGAUGCCUACCGGUGUCGGCUCGCUGCCCCGUUUAUAUUUGGAAAUGGAUAGCGAGACACACCCUUGCGCGCUUGUCGCUGAACCGACCCGUCGGCUGUGGUCAGAUGGCAGUGCACGCCCCAGCAAAUGUGCCUCAUCUCCGUUCCCGGAAAUAGGAUCAAGGUUCUUUGUCCUAUGCUCCUAAUGGGGCCUUGAUCAAGGAGCAACAGUGUAAGUAUUUGCCAUGGCAAUUUAUACUUUGGUCUAUUCUGCGAAGCGAGUUGUUUCAUUUCUGAGAAAAAUUAUUAUAUCUAACCUCUAAUUGCAGUUAUUCUUUAUGCUUAUAUAAUUAUCUGACUUUUCAUUGUACCCUAUAAAUGGAUUUGGUGUGUGUAUGUGUCACAUAUCCAUCAUUUAUGGCUGAGGCGUCCCUGGAGUGCGGCAGGGACAUCUGGGCCUCUCCAGGAGCCUUGAAACCACGCCCGGAUUUCCCAGAAUCCUUUGCUCCUCUGCACGCUACCUGCCUGGCCCUGCUGAGUGACAGGAUUAAAAGCCUGGAAUCUUCCGGACGACUGGGGAGAAUCAUUGCUGGAAGAUGUUUUAAAAUCAGUCAGUCAUGAAUCAAGACUUCCGUUUUUUACAUAGUUAACUAAAUGAAGCUUUCGGGCUUUCCUUUAAAAACUUGCGUAUUCAGUCGCUAUGUUGAUUAAUCGUCAUGUGCACGCCCUUGAACCAAGAUUAUGGUUGCAGGACAAAAAAAACGCAUGGCAGAAGGACGCAAUUUCCACUGAGUGAAAGUGCAGAGCAAAUGUAGAGCAUGUGUCACACACAGUGCUCUGAGGGAAUGCGAGCUAGGACCGGUGCCAGAUGAAUGCCGUCCUUGCCGCUCAGAGGAGAGACGCAGGGGGAGGGGUUCAGCGCGCAGCCAUUUUCACAGCAACGGCGCUCUCUCGCCUGCCUGCCACGCACCGCACAGCCUGCUUUCGGACCAGAGCUGGCACGGAGGAAACAAAAGAGCUAGCACAAUGUUUUCCUCACACUGCCUUUCCUUUUUUCUGAAAGUGCAGAAAUCCUCGUUCAUGUCUCCUUAUAUCCAUUUAACUGCCCCAGUGCAGAAAACAUCUUGUAAGAAAUUUCAUUAAAAACUGCUGCUCACCAGUA